ACUACAGCCCCAGGAAAAAGAAACCUCAAUAUGAAGGAUUGACAUCCAGCUGCAGGGCUAAUAGGUAGGUGUUAAGUAGGUGUGGCCAACUGACACCUAACGCCUCUUUCAAAUCCAAUACCUCCCUUCUAGCAUGUCAACAGCUAGGUAGCCCACACCUUGACAUCAGUACCAAAGGGGAACUCAGACCGGCUUCAAAAGGACAGGUCUUGCCCUGGAACAAAUGAGCCACACACAUAAGGCACAACCCAAUCCAACAGGAAACAGAGACACCACAAUCGGCAUGCGUUAAUGGGGCAAUAACCAUAUUACGACUUCUACCUAAGGUACCUAGCUUGAGCUCAACCUAUGUCGCCUUGGGCACCCUUUCUAUGUAACGCUGAAAGACCACUGAAAUAAAAAAAGAAGUCUGUCGGUCGUUCGUCUGUCCAAGGUUACGAGUACAUAAUCUGUCCACAUAGGGUUUUUUUACAUGGUCAUGUGAGAUCAUGCCGGUUUUCUGCGUCUCCUCCGAUGGCUGGAGCGGUGAUGAUGACUGGACGUGCUGCAUCAAUACAUAGCCGAUUCUUUUCGCCCUUGCGAACUAGUGUCACUGGAUGACUCCAGGGACGCUCGCUCAGCUCAAUCACGGCCAAGGACAACAUCCUAUCCAGUUCCGCAUACAUCAGUUUUUGCACAGCGGGCGACACCGGAUAGUGUACCUCAGACUUUGUCCUACCCAAGCAUUUCUUAGUAAAGCAAGGGAAUUAUUCUAUCACAUCUUCCAAGCGUCUUCCCUGAAAGGCUGACAACACAUGGACUUUCUUGUCAUCAUUGACACAACCGUCAGCUUCUUCACAUAGACAUUGUUGGUGGUCAAACUCUCAAUUUGGGAAAAAGCUGAAAUGUACGCAUAAAAUCAAUGCCAACAAAAGCGACUUUCCCAAAGACGGCACCAAAAAGAAUGUUAUCUCAUGGGACAAUUUAUUAAAUGAGACCAUGACGGAAACUUUUCCUAUAAUCCUAUGCGGACUCUCGUCGGCCGUAUGAAUGAAGGAAUAAAUCAGCGCGUUUGACGAAAUCGACUCACCCUUUACCGAGACAGGAUACCGUAGCACCGCUGUCUAGCAACCCUUCUAUCUCCUGAUCAUUAAUUCUUAAGGGGUAUAAAAACGCGUAUUAUCGCCCUCAUAGAGCGAUGCCUCGGCAAUUUGUCGCCGCAAAGCCUUCCUCUUUUUGUAAUGCUCUCGUAAUUUUUUUUUUCUUGCUUUUACCUUAUUAUAUUCUUUAACCCGGACAUGCAAAGGCCCUAAGUUUUGGGACAAGGGUACAAAUCGUCCAUGCCACGGCGAAAGCGCUGAUGCGGAAGUCACAGCUGGUUGGGUUGUACUCGUGCAAAAUGCUGGAUGUAAAAUCAGAAAAACUUGAAAAAAACCCAAAAUAUAGAACGUCGAACUCCAAAAGACAAAAGCUAACAGUGCAAGAACCAAAAAUUGCUAAAAAGCCAAAAAACAGAAGUUAAAAAUUUGCUUGGUAUAUUGAAACACCCUCCUGCUACUAAGGGAAUAAAUCUACCAAAGUAAAAACAGAAGAAGAAAAACUACAAAUUAAUGUAAUGGAUCGGUGAUAUGUAAAAACUAAACAAAAAGGGUUUCGUGAGUAUAAACGCAGAAGACAAAAACAAGUAAGAGCGUGCUAAGAUCGACCGGGCCGAAUCUUUUAUACCCUCCACCAUGGAUCACAUCUGUCGAGUUCUUUGCGCAGUAUCUCUUUUUAGGCAAACAAAGAAUAAUAAAUAUGGACGGAGGAGGAGGUGGUGCUAUAUCAUAUAGUUCGAUUCGGGGCUCAAGAAGCAAAAUCGGGAGAUCGGUUUAUAUGAGAGCUGUGUCAAGCUAUAGAUCGAUUCAGACCAUAUUGCACAUGUAUGUUGAAGGCCAUGGGAAAAGCCGUUGUACAAAAUAUGUGCCAAAUCGGAUGAGAAUUUUGCUCUCUAGAGGCUCAAGAAAUCUAGAUCCCAGAUCGGUUUAUAUGGUAGCUAUAUCAGGGUAUGGAGCGAUUUGGACGAUACUUCGCAUAAAUGUUGUGGUCACCCCCCUUUGCUCAUGGGAUUGUCACUAUUGUGAAUGACAUAAUAUUUAUUGGAUUGACAACAUGGCUGAAUCAGCUGGCCGCAUAUUGAAGUCGAGGCAUGUCAGGUCGCUUGGGGACAAAUAUGGAAAAUAAAAAGCGAAAGGAAAAUGGCCAUGACAGGAAAUUUUGGGAAGAUGGCCGAUUUCCUGGGCUUUUUCCGACCUCUUGGAUUUGAACAUUAAAGCUGGUUGGACGUGUGGAAUCGAGUGAAAUCGAAGUUUUUUUUGUUGUUGUGAAACUAAAGCCAGGCAUAUGCCUUGUAGUAUGACGUAACCAACACUUUUUAAGAAGAAGAAAGAGAUGCUAAUGCUUAUGUUUUUUAUUGAUUGUUAAUUGUGUGCCAAACAAACAUUGAAACUUGAAUCUGUAACCUAAAAAUAAAAAAGUUAAACCUGAAAAAAAGACUUUAAUCUUAAGAGCUGAAUGAACUUACUUGCUAAAUUAAACUGCAUAGUAAAAUAAACUACCCAAACACUUACAAGUA